GACGAACGCUGGCGGCGUGCCUAAUACAUGCAAGUAGAACGCUGAAGAGAGGAGCUUGCUCUUCUUGGAUGAGUUGCGAACGGGUGAGUAACGCGUAGGUAACCUACCUGGUAGCGGGGGAUAACUAUUGGAAACGAUAGCUAAUACCGCAUAAGAGUAGAUAUCGCAUGAUAUGUGCUUAAAAGGUGCAAUUGCAUCACUACCAGAUGGACCUGCGUUGUAUUAGCUAGUUGGUGAGGUAACGGCUCACCAAGGCAACGAUACAUAGCCGACCUGAGAGGGUGAUCGGCCACACUGGGACUGAGACACGGCCCAGAUUCCUACGGGAGGCAGCAGUAGGGAAUCUUCGGCAAUGGACGGAAGUCUGACCGAGCAACGCCGCGUGAGUGAAGAAGGUUUUCGGAUCGUAAAGCUCUGUUGUAAGAGAAGAACGAGUGUGAGAGUGGAAAGUUCACACUGUGACGGUAUCUUACCAGAAAGGGACGGCUAACUACGUGCCAGCAGCCGCGGUAAUACGUAGGUCCCGAGCGUUGUCCGGAUUUAUUGGGCGUAAAGCGAGCGCAGGCGGUUAGAUAAGUCUGAAGUUAAAGGCUGUGGCUUAACCAUAGUACGCUUUGGAAACUGUUUAACUUGAGUGCAAGAGGGGAGAGUGGAAUUCCAUGUGUAGCGGUGAAAUGCGUAGAUAUAUGGAGGAACACCGGUGGCGAAAGCGGCUCUCUGGCUUGUAACUGACGCUGAGGCUCGAAAGCGUGGGGAGCAAACAGG
rnacentral:rRNA from 1 species